AUGGUGAAUUACUGCUUUAAUAAUCGUAUGUUAAUUAGGUUAGAUGUGAAUUACGUGAAUGUUGAUCUUCAGAUUAUUGUGGACAAGCCUGAGUGGGAUCAGGAAGCUGUCAGCAGGAGGCUCCGAUUCUUCAGUCGUCAACAGAAUUCAAGCAAACUGCUCCAGACCUCACGUGUUUCCGGCAGCAGAGAAAUUUGCGUCGCUGCAAGGAUCUGCUCUCUGUUCAGACCAAUGUGUCCAUUACCAAGGCCAAACCACGGCAUCAUAAGAGGUCACGAUCUGUGGUAGGCCGCCCAUUGCUGGCUGGCAAUCUUCUUCGAAAAGGAAGCUUUGCUUGAACAGCACAUUAUCUCAGCAGCUUUAUCCACUCGACCUUAGUGUGAAGCAGAAGGACAAACUUCUUGUAGAUGGCAAGAUUUCAAGAUUUAAUGCAGAUUUGAAGCAGAUCUCAGAGGUCGACUAAUGUCCGGGGGAAAUCGAACAAGCAGGAAGUGUCUGAUGGCAUAGACAGAACACGGCGGGUGCUGAAGUUUGAUGACACCCCUAAAACUGUUGCUGUGGAAACUGCGGAACAGAGGAAAAGCCCUCAGCAGAAGCACAAAUGUGGAGAGAUUCGUGAAGCUCAGAAUGGUUUGCAGGAAGAGAUUUCUGAGGAUUCGGAAGGGUUCAGGACACCCACAGAUCUGUUCAGCGUGAAGCCCAAGAUUAAACGAGGGAACCAGAAGAAAGUCUCUGCCUCUGGUGUUACAAAACCUGCUGUACAGAAGCCCAACUUCAUAUCCAUGUUAGCCACACUGGUGAAGAAUCAGAACCAGAUUAUUGAGGAAUCCUGCAAAUGAGUCUCUGUCGAAGUUUUGUAAUUAGUUCUUUAAGUCAUCUUGUUUUACUCAAGUCGCUGCUAUCAAGUUUGGCUAAUUCUGUUAAUAGAUAUAAUAUUUGACAAAAGUCUGCUGAUGUUUAUUUAUUGUUGCAUUUGUUUAUGUUUUAACAUUUGCAUUUGCAUUAAUAAAUACAACUUGUUCUAAAUGAUCUGUUUGUGUAUGCUGUUUAUUCCACAGUGUCUUGAACUGCAGUUACUGUAAUAACCACAGAGAGGAGCUGUUUCCAAACAAACUUGCAUAUCUUCACUCCUGUAUUUUUAAAUAUUACAAUAUAUGGCCUUAAAAAAAACAUUGUCUCACACUUUUAUCAAAUUGACUUAACAUGAUGUUUUAGACAUCUGUAAUUCUGUACAUAAUGCAUGACUUCGUGUUUUUCAGUGGAUCGAGGAAAAUGGUUUUUAAACUUUAUUUAAAUAGAUACAUAUAGAGUCAGCAAUACAUAAAC
ensembl:lncRNA